rnacentral:tRNA from 1 species
GGGGAUUUAGCUCAGCGGUAGAGCGCUUGCCUAGGAAGCGCAAGGUCCUGGGUUCGGUCCCCAGCUCCA